UACGUAGGGUGCGAGCGUUAAUCGGAAUUACUGGGCGUAAAGCGUGCGCAGGCGGUUAUGUAAGACAGAUGUGAAAUCCCCGGGCUCAACCUGGGAACUGCAUUAGUGACUGCAUAGCUGGAGUACGGCAGAGGGGGAUGGAAUUCCGCGUGUAGCAGUGAAAUGCGUAGAUAUGCGGAGGAACACCGAUGGCGAAGGCAAUCCCCUGGGCCUGUACUGACGCUCAUGCACGAAAGCGUGGGGAGCAAACAGGAUUAGAUACCUGGUAGUC
rnacentral:rRNA from 1 species